UAACGCGUAUGCAACUUACCUAUCAGAGGGGGAGUAACCCGGCGAAAGUCGGACUAAUACCGCAUGAAGCAGGGGCCCCGCAUGGGGAUAUUUGCUAAAGAUUCAUCGCUGAUAGAUAGGCAUGCGUUCCAUUAGGCAGUUGGCGGGGUAACGGCCCACCAAACCUACGAUGGAUAGGGGUUCUGAGAGGAAGGUCCCCCACAUUGGACUGAGACACGGACCAAACUCCUACGGGAGGCAGCAUG
rnacentral:rRNA from 1 species